ensembl:lncRNA
AGGUCCGCUGCCCAUCCUGAGCCGGGAAUGCGCCGGACAGUGCCGGCUGUAAGAGCAAGGUGAGGUUUUUUUUAGCUCUCCGCAGUCUCUUGCAGGGAACCCCGUGGGUUUGGCAGCGCCCGGCGGUGCGCUCCCACCCGGCACUGCCGGAACGGCUGCGGCGGUGCGGGGUGAGCCGAGCGCGUCCUGCCCGGAGCAUCCCUCGUCCCUCUCCGGGUGCAGAGUUCAGCCCAGCCCGGACAGCCCGCUGCACCCAGCAGCCUUUAUUCCACCGAGGGAAAAAAAAAAAAAGAAAGAAGAAAUCAUCCAGGUGAUCUCAGAGCCGGGCACUCCCGUUGUCAGUGUGUAGCAAAUGAGGAAAAAAAAAAAGAAAAAGAGAGAGGAAAAAAAAGAAUCCCGGAGGUCCGGGCGCAGCUCCGGCCCCGACGGGGCGGGGGUUGGUCCGACAGGGCGCACUCCCCUGCGCUUGGCUGGGGGCAGACCCAGAGGGUUCUGUCCGCUUUAUUUUUCGGUCAAGAAUUUGGGGUGUCCCUCUAAGACGGCUCUGGCCGGGCUCGGCUCCCAGCAGCACGGCGCCAGCAGGUGCCCACGGGCUCUCUGUCAGAUUCUUCUCUCUCGGGAGACGACGGCUGCAGCCGCUUCGAGGAGAGAAGGAUUCGGCCGUGGGCUCCCAGGGUCGCGGGGCCGCACACACUCCGCACCCCGCACCUCCUCAGUCCCCCUCUUCUUGGCCGCGAGUCGCCUCCAAAAACAGAGCCUCCAUCCGAUCCUCUUUUGAUCGCGGGAUGUCUGCGCGUAAAUAUAACCUCGCAAACAGAGUUUUCCUUCCCUG